AUUGAACGCUGGCGGCAGGCCUAACACAUGCAAGUCGAGCGGAUGAAGGGAGCUUGCUCCUGGAUUCAGCGGCGGACGGGUGAGUAAUGCCUAGGAAUCUGCCUGGUAGCGGGGGAUAACGUCCGGAAACGGGCGCUAAUACCGCAUACGUCCUGAGGGAGAAAGUGGGGGAUCUUCGGACCUCACGCUAUCAGAUGAGCCUAGGUCGGAUUAGCUAGUUGGUGGGGUAAAGGCCUACCAAGGCGACGAUCCGUAACUGGUCUGAGAGGAUGAUCAGUCACACUGGAACUGAGACACGGUCCAGACUCCUACGGGAGGCAGCAGUGGGGAAUAUUGGACAAUGGGCGCAAGCCUGAUCCAGCCAUGCCGCGUGUGUGAAGAAGGUCUUCGGAUUGUAAAGCACUUUAGGUUGGGAGGAAGAGCAGUAAGUUAAUACCUUGCUGUUUUGACGUUACCAACAGAAUAAGCACCGGCUAACUUCGUG
rnacentral:rRNA from 1 species